AUGCCUAAAAGGAGCAAAGCAAGCGCUGAUGUUGAGGCAGCAGAGCCUAAGAGGAGAUCUGAGAGAUUGGUAAAUAAACCUGCAAUUGCAAAGGCAGAGCCCAAGCCAAAGAAGGAGAAGGCAGCACCUAAGCCCAAGAAGGCUAAAGAGGUGAAAAAGACCGAGCCUGAGAAGGAGGUGCCCGCAGAGAAUGGAGAAGCCAAAGCUGAGGAAGAGGCACCAGAAGAACCUGAACAGAAAGAGGAGGAAGAGGCGGCCGAAUAAAGAUCAGAAG
rnacentral:lncRNA from 1 species